GUGCCAGCAGCCGCGGUAAUACCGGCAGCCCGAGUGAUGGCCGAUCUUAUUGGGCCUAAAGCGUCCGUAGCUGGCUGCGCAAGUCCGUCGGGAAAUCCACUCGUCCAACGGAUGGGCGUCCGGCGGAAACCAGCUGGCUUGGGGCCGGAAGAUCUGAGGGGUACGUCCGGGGUAGGAGUGAAAUCCUGUAAUCCUGGACGGACCGCCGGUGGCGAAAGCGCCUCAGAAGAACGGACCCGACGGUGAGGGACGAAAGCUAGGGUCUCGAACCGGAUUAGAUACCCGAGUAGUCC
rnacentral:rRNA from 1 species